rnacentral:rRNA from 1 species
UACGGAGGGUGCGAGCGUUAAUCGGAAUUACUGGGCGUAAAGCGCACGCAGGCGGUUUGUUAAGCUAGAUGUGAAAGCCCCGGGCCCAACCUGGGAUGGUCAUUUAGAACUGGCAGACUAGAGUCUUGGAGAGGGGAGUGGAAUUCCAGGUGUAGCGGUGAAAUGCGUAGAUAUCUGGAGGAACAUCAGUGGCGAAGGCGACUCCCUGGCCAAAGACUGACGCUCAUGUGCGAAAGUGUGGGUAGCGAACAGG